ACGCUGGCGGCGUGCCUAACACAUGCAAGUCGUACGAGAAAGUUGGCUUCGGCCGGUGAGUAAAGUGGCGCACGGGUGAGUAACGCGUGGAUAAUCUGCCCUCCGGUCAGGAAUAACCAAUCGAAAGGUUGGCUAAUACCCGAUCACACUCUUGCACUGCGGUGCAAUAGUCAAAGAUGGCCUCUGUAUACAAGCUAUCGCCGGGGGAUGAGUCCGCGUACCAUUAGCUGGUUGGUGGGGUAAUGGCCUACCAAGGCGAUGAUGGUUAGCUGGUCUGAGGGGAUGGCCAGCCACACUGGAACUGAGACACGGUCCAGACUCCUACGGGAGGCAGCAGUGAGGAAUCUUGCGCAAUGGGGGAAACCCUGACGCAGCAACGCCGCGUGAGUGAGGAAGGCCCUCGGGUCGUAAAGCUCUGUCAGGUGGGAAGAAAUCGAUGAAGGUGAACAACCUCCAUCCUUGACGGUACCACCAGAGGAAGCACCGGCUAACUCCGUG
rnacentral:rRNA from 1 species